CUGUAGACCAUGUUGUUCAGAAUUUAUCUUCUAAACAUCUGAUAAGUGUUUUAUGGUGAUGAAAAAUUAUUUAUAACUUCUAAUGGUUUUAUUUAAUCUCUAAUGUUCAGUUUUGCAGGGUUUUAAAGACUCCAUUUCAAACUAUUAUACCAGACGAAGUUCAGCCAGAAAACAUUUACAUAGGGAAAGUAAUUGUGAACUUAAUAAGUAAAAGAUGUAUUGGUGACUAAAAGGGACGCCGAUGGUGUGCACGAGCAGUAACUGCAGAAAGUGGCACUCCUAGGAACAGUGCUUGAGUACGAAAUACAGAAACUGGCGAAGAGGAAGCCUAGAGGGGGCCCUGUUGCCACAGAAACACGCAGGCUGCUGCUAUGACAACCAAAGCUACCCUUGCAUUCGAGAUGAGAGAGAAAUAACACCAGAAAGAAAGGUUCUUCUGCUCUAUAGCGUAUGACCCUCUUAAUGAGAUGGUGAAUUCAAUUUGCUAGUGUUUUGCAUUCAUCUUCUCUAGAGAUAUUAGCCUAUAAUUUUCUUUCCCUGCAAUGUCAUUGUUUGUCUUUGGUAUCAAAGCAACCCUGCCCUUGUUCUUUCUGUGUUGGGGGAGGGAGCUAAAAAGAUUGGCAUGGGUACCAAUGAGGUGAUCUGCAACUAAGCUUUGCUUUGGGCAGAUUGAUUACUGUUCCAAUAUUCUUAUUCACCAUAGGCUUGUGCAAUCUAUUUUAAAAAAUUCUUCAUGAUUCAGUUCUCUUUUAAUAUGUUUUUAGGAAUGUAUUAAUUUGAGGUUGUUGAAUUUGGAAUGCUCACAGAUUUCUUUUCUGUAUUUCUACAGUUUUAUUUACUUGGAUAUUUUAAUAUUAAUAUCUUUAUAUCUUAAUCUAGCUAAAGGUUUACUAACUUUAUGUUUCAAAAGACAAGUUAGUCUUAGUGGUCUUUCCCAGUGUUUAUUUCAUUUAUUUUUGCUUUAAUCUUCAUUAGCUCUCUCCUUCUGAUAAUUUUAGACCACAAUUUGCUCUUUUUAUAUUAUAUUGGUGCAAAGGGAAUUGUAUUUUUUAGACUAUGAAUUUUAAAUAGUUAUAAAUAGGCUUCAUCAAAUCUUUCUUAAUCAAAAUAGGAACCAUUACAAUGCACAUUUCUUUUUGGCAAUGAGAAAUAAGUGUAUUCCUGUAGCAUAAAAAUCCAGGCCUUGGGAUUUGAUUUACUUUUGGAAAGAAUAUGCUGCAUCCUGCUGGUCAUGGAAGUGGUUUUUCCUGCAAAGAGCUGUUGAGGUGCUCAGAGCAGUACAAGUCUAUUGAGGAGAGGUCAGUUGCCUACAGUGGAGAAGGCAAAGCUUGUAACACACUUACUUCAGUUUCUGAAGCACCUGAGUGUGCAACUUGAGGUGAGGCAUCAUUCCAGAGAAGAACCAGGCUUUUUAUGGUGGCAGAGACCAUCUGAACCUGUCGCAGGUUUCAGUAUGUCUCAUCAAUUUGCUGAACACUCUGCCCAGCUGUGAUGAUGUCACCGGGACUCAGAAAGCUGAGGAGGAUCAGAACAUCAGCAGGAAGAGACUCUAUGACUAAGGCAACUCAUACAAGAAAGCACUGAGAACUUGCCUGAUGUUUCAAGAGGUUGGUCCAUUAUUGUCAUGGCAGAGAGUGUGGCAGCAGGCAACCAUGGUGCUGAAGACGUCACUGAGAGCUUGCAUUUGAUCUUCGAGUUGCAGAUCAAGAGAGAGACACUGGGCCUAUCAUGGGCUUUUGAAACUUCAAAGCACACCCACCUCACAUCCUCCAAAAAGGCCACACCUCCUAAUCCCUCCCACACAGUUCCACCAACUGGGUACCAAGCAUUCAAACAUAAAAGCCUCUGGGCACCAUUCUCAUUCAGAUCACCACAGUCCAUUCCCUUGCUACUGUAGGUUUGUAGCCUUUGUGGCUGCAUCAUAACAAAACUGCAUUUAGUCCAAUUUAAAGUCCCAUAGUCUUUCUUAGUCUCAAAGAUGCCUAAAAGUCCAAAGUUCAAAGUUUCUUCUGAAACUCGAGGCACUCUUCUAACUGCAGUUCCUGUAACAUCAAAAUACAAAAGCAGAUUACAUACUUCCUACAUACAAUGGCACAGAAUAUACGUUACUAUUCCAAAAUGGAGGAAAUAUGGCAGAGUAAGGAAACACUGGACCAAAGUAAAACUGAAAACUGGCAGAACAAACUUCAAAUCCCACACCUCCAUGUCUCAUGUCGAAUGACUUAUUGAUUGCUCUUCCCUUUCAACUUUGUUGCAGAGUGCAACACCUUUUUCUCUCUUGAGCUGGUUCCACACCAUGUCUGCAUCUCUUGUGGCCUACAUAAAACCAACUGCCAAUGACCAGAUGUGGAGUGCAGUUGCAGCAUCUCAAGCAGGAAAAAGAGGAGACAGCUUAGAAUCAACAGGGUCUCACCAAAUGGCCUACUACAGUCUUGAAUUCACUCUGGGGCCUGGCAGGACUGCAAGGUGGAUUCUCUUUCCUUAGAUUCUCCAGUAGUUGGGAUGACAGAUCUUCAUCACUUGAACCACUGAGGAUGUUUCCAGUGAUUGAGGCCCAGUUUCUUCUCUCUGGAUGUGAGCUCUCAGCUGCUGCUCCAUGACCAUGCCUGCCUGCUUGCCUCCUGCCUGCUGCCACAUGACCUGCUAUGAUGGUCAUGGACUAAUUCUCUGUAACUGUAAGGAAGCCCCAGGCAAAUGCUUUCUAAGUUGCCUUGGUCAUGGUGUCUCUUCACAGCAGUAAAACAGUAACGAGUAGAGCAGUAACGAAGACAACAAGCUUUUGGAUGAAUUUUGAUGUAACAAGAGGAUUCCUUACAGCAUUUUGCAAAUGCUAAAGACUGGAUAGCCAUCUGUGCCACGUGGUGCUACUAACAUCUGAAAGCUUGAUACUUACACAGCUGAAAAGAAACAACAUUAGCAGCAUACAUCUUAACUUGCACAUCAGAGAUACGCCAUCCUAAAGGAUAAAGAACCCAUGUGAAACACUUUCCAAUUGAGUCUUUUCAGCAUAGUUUUGCAGUAGCAGAGUUGAAGACAGCAAACUCUUUAUUUAUUACUAACAAUAAAGUAGA